CUGAACUGUUCCUUAUCUCUCUCUCUGUCUCUCUCUCUCUCUCUUUGUCUAUAACACACACACACACACACACACACAGAGAGAGAGAGAGAGAGAGAGAGAGAGAGAGAGAGAGAGAGAACUUCUUUG